UUUUCCAGCUGGAGCCAUCCCGAGCAAGUGGUGCCAUCAGCUCAAUUAAAAAUACUUCCUUCGUCUUGGCUGUACAGUGGCCUGUGGGCUUUCUGCAUUUUGGCUGGAUUUUACCAAAAGGAGUGACUCAGCCUCUUACAAGCCUUUGCUGCAAGUGUUACACUAUAGCUGAUGGCGACGGAAACCCCUCUCACAUGGGCUCUUUCGGGACCAGGAGUUCGGUUAGGUAAACCCCUUGGUGUCUUCUGGAAACAGAACGGUUAUCGAAGCUCCAACUAUGUCGGUCGGGUUAAACUUUGACCAACUCAGGUGACCGGUCAGUCGAGCUCAAAACCUUGCGGAAUACUUCGUAUCAGCCGAGACCACACACCCAGAUUCCUGGAGCAUGUCUGGUGUUUGUAAUCAAACAUAACCCCAGAAUGUUUGCUCUCCUAAGUAGUGGAGACACGUUCUUCUCAGUUGAAAGCUUUGUGUCUUACUCAACAAGGUCUGUAUCUGAACUAUGUUAAAGGUGCAUAGUAAAGGGAUGAUAUCACAGGGCUGCUUUGGUUUUUUGAGCUCUUGUGCUGAGCUGAAGUUGAGCAGUGACAAUGAGUCAUGUCGUCUUGUGAGCGGCCAGGCACUUUCCCAAUCAGAGAGACUGUUGAGAUCUUAGACAAUAGAACCUGGGGUUGUUUGAAGAGGAGGGAUCCAUAGGACCCGUAUGCUUGGUGACACCAGGCUUGUAUGGGAGAGUGCCCACUGGCAUUUCCUGGCACAGUGAGGACAGCGCUGUGACAUGAUCUGCACUUGGCCACUUGUGUGGGAUGUGGGGCAAUGGCCACCAGGUGAUGACUGGGCUCUAGGGACCUCGUGUCCCCUCCAGCCUGACAACUAAUAGGGACGGAUGCUGUGUACUUCCUGCAUUGAUAUCAUUGGACAUAGUCGUUUUAACCUCGA